AGGAGGUAAUGGCUGUGUCUCUGGCCCUGAACCCUGCUGAGCCUUGAGCUGCCAUGUCUGCUGCCUCCCUGCCAGAGAUGUUGCACACGACCUGCACAGUGUGGAGAGAUACCAGAGCCAGCCCAGUGCUCCCCAGGCCCCUCUGCAGCUUUGGCCAUGUCCAUUCACAUCUGGCUCACACAGCCUUAGCUGACCUCCUUGCAGUGUCUAGUUCCCGAAUGCAGAAGGGGAUCGCAGCACACCAUGGAAAUGGUUCUGAUCUGUGCUCCUUUCUAGGUUGGGAUGAUGUCAUGGGUUAUGUAGAAAAGCUGGGGAAUGACAAGUUGAAGAUUCUAGAGCAUGGUGGUGGUCCUCCUGGAUUGAAGAACCAAGACACAGAAGACCAGAAAACGCUGGAGGCAUCCAAACAUCUGGACCAGAUGCUGAGUGAUCUGGAGAGACGCCGUGGUGAGGUUCCUAGGAAGGCUUCUCGAGGAGCUUGGUUGGAAGAUGGUUUGGACCUCUUGGGAGCUUCUGCAGGUGUGUCUGCAGAGGGCACUUUUCCAGCUCCGGGGCUGGAUGGUGUUUACAAACCCAGCUCCUAUCACAAUGGUCCUCCAACAGACAACACCCAAGACUCUGAAGAUAAGAAAUCCCUGGAGGAAGCCAAACUUCUGGGCCAGAUGCUGAGUGAUCUGGAGAGACGCCCUGGUGAGGUUCCUAGGAAGGCUUCUCGAGGAGCUUGGUUGGAAGAUGGUUUGGACCUCUUGGGAGCUUCUGCAGGUGUAUCUGCAGAGGGCACUUUUCCAGCUCCGGGGCUGGAUGGUGUUUACAAACCCAGCUCCUAUCACAAUGGUCCUCCAACAGACAACACCCAAGACUCUGAAGAUAAGAAAUCCCUGGAGGAAGCCAAACUUCUGGGCCAGAUGCUGAGUGAUCUGGAGAGACGCCCUGAGAUGGAAGGAGAGACUGUGCUGAAGAAUGAGUUUCCCAGAGGAAGCAGGGGCUCAUUGGCAGCAUCUGCUGCAGGAAGGGAGGCCAUGCCAGGUACAGUCACAGGAGGUGAGGUUCCUAGGAAGGCUUCUCGAGGAGCUUGGUUGGAAGAUGGUUUGGACCUCUUGGGAGCUUCUGCAGGUGUAUCUGCAGAGGGCACUUUUCCAGCUCCGGGGCUGGAUGGUGUUUACAAACCCAGCUCCUAUCACAAUGGUCCUCCAACAGACAACACCCAAGACUCUGAAGAUAAGAAAUCCCUGGAGGAAGCCAAACUUCUGGGCCAGAUGCUGAGUGAUCUGGAGAGACGCCCUGAGAUGGAAGGAGAGACUGUGCUGAAGAAUGAGUUUCCCAGAGGAAGCAGGGGCUCAUUGGCAGCAUCUGCUGCAGGAAGGGAGGCCAUGCCAGGUACAGUCACAGGAGGUGAGGUUCCUAGGAAGGCUUCUCGAGGAGCUUGGUUGGAAGAUGGUUUGGACCUCUUGGGAGCUUCUGCAGGUCCUCCAACAGACAACACCCAAGACUCUGAAGAUAAGAAAUCCCUGGAGGAAGCCAAACUUCUGGGCCAGAUGCUGAGUGAUCUGGAGAGACGCCCUGAGAUGGAAGGAGAGACUGUGCUGAAGAAUGAAUUUCCCAGAGGAAGCAGGGGCUCAUUGGCAGCAUCUGCUGCAGGAAGGGAGGCCAUACCAAGUACAGUCACAGGAGGUGAGGUUCCUAGGAAGGCUUCUCGAGGAGCUUGGUUGGAAGAUGGUUUGGACCUCUUGGGAGCUUCUGCAGGUGCUCCUGUGCAGAUUCAGAAGAGCAGCCCAAGAGCUCAGGAAGAGAGUACUUGACUCGUUCCAGUUUUUCAUGUCUCCCCCCAUAUGCUCUGGCAUGGCUGCACCCCUGUCUUGAGCACGUCCCAGCACUCACACCUCUAAAAUGAGAACCUCUGCCCCCGAGCCCCCUGGCCCUUCUCCCCAGCCUGGACUGAAGCUGGGCAACCCCUCUCCCCAGGGCAGGGCUUGGCCCUUGUUCUAUGUUUAGAUAAAGAAAUUGAGUUGUCACAGCUAUCUGCGGGUGGUACCACCAGCAAAGCCCACACGACAGCAGCAGCGCUGGCUGAGCUCCAUGUCCAGGAGCAGCCAUGGAUGCCCACGGUGCAGGCAGGCAGGAGCCAGGCAGGGGCUGCUGUGAGCAGCGGCGGGGGCCCAAAGGGGCUGGGGGAACCCAUGCUGAGCAUCCCUGGGGCUGAGGGCACAUCUCCUUCAGUGGCAUCAUCUGGGCCUGGACCUCCUCCAGGGGCAUACCCAGGAAAAGACAGAAGCAAUCACUAAGUGCUUACCUUGAGGAAAAUGGAAUGAGGCUGGGCUGUGCACCACAAGGAAGUCCUUCAUAGACUGAGAGAUGAGCUCAGAGACUGACAAGAGACUGGGUCUGUGGCACCCUGGGGGGACACAGGGAAUAUGGCUCAGCUGUCUUGCUGCUCCCUGAGUGUCAUGUUUGGGUUCCUCCAAAGGCGUGCAGGGGGUUUGGGUCACCCUUAAGUUGUGCAGGGAUGUUAGGGGUUGGUUUGUUUUGGUUUUUUUCCCUUUUCUCUCUGUGGAAUUUUCCCCAUUGUCAUGUUAAGAGACUUGUUGGCUACACCCUAGCACGGAUGGGUAGUGACAGGGGCAUGGGAGAGAUUCCCUGUCCUUUUGUUUUAUUGGUUUUUUUUGAAAGUUUCUCUCUCAGGGUGGAGGGGGUGGGGAAGAGGGCAAACGCAGCCCGACCAGGGGGGCAGAUAAAGGAGGUGGGGGUAGCUGGGCGCUCUCUCCCUCUCUCGCUGCUGGAGCCAGAGGAAGACAGGCCGUGCUGCUAUCCAGCACCCCUGCCAUCCCAACAACGGGAGCCACGUUCUCUGCUGUCUGACACCACACUGCUGCCUUCCCGCUUCAGCCUGCUACCUCCGGGCACCCAGCUGAGCACCACGACCGACACCGUGAGCGGGGGAGCCCCUCCUCCAUCGCUCUCAUACCUGGGCCGCCGCUGCUAUCACUCUAGUCCUGCACAGCUGCACCUGCGCCCACCACCGGUAACUGAGCACAGGUGUCUGCGGCUGAAAAGGACUGGAACUGAGUUCUACUGCUCUGUUUUGUUGUCAAUUUUCAUAGCUGUUGUUGGUUUUGUUUGUCUUGUUAGAUAUAUUAGCAAAGAACUAAAGUUAUUACUAUCCCCAUAUUUUUGCCUGAGAGCCUCUGAUUCCAAAAUUAUAAUAACCUGGAGGGAGAGGAGUUUGCACUCUCCACGUCAGGUAUUUGCCCAGAAAGGCAGGAGCCCCCUUCUUAGCUUUCAAACCAGGACAAAGGAAUUUGGGAUAACUCCAAAGGUGUGCAGGGGCCGAGGGAAAACUAUUAAGUUAAGCAUGUGUCUGGGCUCCCUUGUGAGGCACACAGGGGGACUUUGGAGUGGCUGAAGACACCCAUAAGAUGUGCAGUGGGUUUGCGUCUCCCCUGAAGCAUGCACCUAUCCUGAUGGCCAGUGUUGCAUUGUUUUUUAUAAAUUAUAGCAUCAAGUCCUUCACUUUAUAAAGAUGGGCCAAAGGCCAGCACAGUGCACAGCACAGACUCAGUGUCGGCAUGGGGCUGGUGCUGCCUGCAAUCGUGGAGAUCACCAAUGUGAGUUGAAUGUUGGACUUCACAUUGCUCUUGCAGGUAGAAGCAUGAAAUCUAUCACUUGGCCAAUGUCAUAUAACUCAGAUCAUGUGAAAAAACCAGAUUGGAUGCAGCUGCCUGGAGGGACCUACUCUCCUCACUGGAAGGGCAGCUCUUGAGAUCCAUGCACACAAAAUCCUGACCCAGCUUUGAGGUCACAGCAGGCUCUGGGGUGACAGCACGCUGAGGUCACAGCAGGCUCUGAGGUCACAGAGGUGCCAGAGCCCCAUGGUUGCACAGCAGCACAACCACCGACCAGUCAGUCCCUGACCACAUCUGUUGUGGCAGCAGCGGUGGCAGUGGCAGUGGUGCUGACAUUGGGACAGCUGUGUCAGGACAGCAGCAGCAGCAAGAGCUGCAGGACUGGCAGAGGGCAAGGCACCAUGGCCCUUGCUCUGCGCCUCUUCCUCCUGCUCCUCCUGGCAGUGGCCCUGCCUGCCAGGGCUGCCCAGGCAGCUCCAUGGCGAGCACAGGGAGCAGGUGAGUCAGCAGCCUGGCUCCCCUUUCCAGGGACAGCGCUCUCCUCUCCAUAGGAAGCGUUGGGGAUGGUUUCCCAUAGGGCUUUAGAGAUAUUUUGCUCUGUUUGAGGGAGAGAGCCCACAGGAGCCCUGGGCUGCUUGAGUCACUCAUCCAGGGAUAUUGCACAGGGCAUGGAAAGAAUGUUCAGAGUGACCAGAGCCAGCCCAGAGCUCCCCAGGCCCCUGUUGUGCUUUGGCCAUGCCAACUCACAUCUGGGUCCCAUAGCCUUAUAUCACCCAUACACAUGAAGCGGAACUAUUUUGCUCUAAGGUCUUCCAGGAGCCCAGACCCAAGACAUAGAAGAGAAGAAAUCGAUGGAGGAAGCCAAACUUCUAGGCCAGAUUAUAAGUGAUAUGGAGAGAGGCCGUGGUGGGUGCAUUUCCCUGCCUUGCAGUUCCCUAAGGCAGAAGGAGAUCCCAGCACACCAGGGAAAUGGUUCUGAUCUGUGCUCCCUUCUAGGUGAGGUUCCUUGGAAGGCUUCUCAAGGAAGUUGGUUGGAAGAUGGUUUGGACCUCUUGGGAGCUUCUGCAGGUGUGUCUGCAGGGGGCACUUUCCCAG